UUCAGUGCAAGUCCCUUCGGCUAAGCUCCUCAAGGCCGACUUGUGGUUAUCGCACCGUAUCAACCCAGAGAUGUGACGGUACGAACAGUAUCCUCGGGUGAGGAAUUCACCUGCAAUGAACGCGCACUCGUGACCUCCGCGCAGUAAAUGUUGAUGCUUCUGAAAAUGUGAAGAUGGAUUGAUUAUGAAAAUGCGGCCAAAGAAGAAAAGAAAAAAAAGUAAUUCCAUGUCGGAGCAGAGGUAAUCAAGUCGGAACAUGUAUUGCCAAUAAUAAUCAAAAUUAGAUUUUGCAUCGUUAAACUGCAUGGUUAUGUCAAAGAGAUACAUGAGCACAGGGUUGCUACACUCCCAUCAGUGUCAAUGCUUCGUCAUGGACACAGUAUCACCAUCGCUUACAUUCCUUCGUCUAUUAAGAAAUGAUAAGAAUGCGGUGAAAGGGCAGCUAUGUAGUUUUCUUCCCUGUCAGAACAUGUAAGCAAGAAGAAAAAAUAUUCACCCGGGCAGAUAAAAUCCAAGUCCUGCUUGAGGAUGUAUAUUCAUGUGAUAAAUGUGAGUAACCUCUCUGUCGACUUAAGAAAAUUGGUAAUACUGACACCAAUGGAAUUAAAAGAUCAUAAUUUUUACAUAUUAAUAUCCAAUGCUAAAGAAAGCCAACUUUCAGCAUCACAUUGUCCUAUGAAAUGGACAGCAUUUUUAAAAAUAUAUAUAACGUGACAAGACGAAGAAGUGAAUCAACGAUCACGAAAUGGUUCAUUGAUGUGUGAACAAAUCAGAAUUCAAAUCUGUCAGUUUUCACCCUAAAAUGGCUCUAUUUAGUGUAUCGAUAUCUACACUAUCCAGGCUCCGUGAAGUGGAUCAUUUUCUACCAUGAUGAGGUUCUAUGAAGUUCAUAACCUUCCUACCUAAUUAGUCUCUACGAAGUCUGUGAAGUGGAUUAAUUUUCAUUCUAACCAAGCUCUGUUAAGUGGAUCAAUACUAACCCAAACAGAACUCUACGAAGUGGAUCAAUUUUCUCCAUAACAAGGCUCUGUGAAGUGGAUCAAUUUUCACCCUAACAAGCCCCUAAACGGAUCAAUUUUCCAUCCUAACAAGGCUCUAGGGUGUCUACCAUUCUUCACCCUAAGAAGGCCCUAUGAAGUGGAUCAAUUUUCACCCUAAGAAGACAAUGAAGUGAAUCAACUUUCACUCUA